rnacentral:rRNA from 1 species
GAUUAACGCUGGCGGCAUGCCUAAUACAUGCAAGUCGAACGAGAAAUUUAUUUCUAGUGGCGAACGGGUGAGUAACGUAUUUCUAACUUGCCCCAGAGUGUGGAAUAACUAUUGGAAACGAUAGCUAAUACCACAUAAGAUAUUCUUUGGCAUCAUUGAAUGUUUAAAGGGGCGUUUGCCCCGCUCUGGGAUAGGGAAAUAUCAUAUUAGCUAGUUGGUACGGUAAUGGCGUACCAAGGCGAUGAUAUGUAGCCGAGCUGAGAGGUUGAUCGGCCACAAUGGGACUGAGACACGGCCCAUACUCCUACGGGAGGCAGCAGUAGGGAAUUUUCCACAAUGGACGAAAGUCUGAUGGAGCAAUGCCGCGUGGGGGAAGACGGAUUUCGGUCUGUAAACCCCUGUUGUAAGGGAAGAACAUCUAUGAUAGGAAAUGAUCAUAGUUUGACGGUACCUUACCAGAAAGUCACGGCUAACUAUG